ensembl:lncRNA
GCCCAGACAGGAGGAGUGUGAGCGUAGGUGGUUUCCAUCAGGCCUGCAGUGGCCUUGUGUUCUCAGAGCCUCAGACAUCCAUGGUGGGGCCCAGACAGGAGGAGUGUGAGCGUAGGCAGUUUCCAUCAGGCCUGCAGUGGCCUUGUGUUCUCAGAGCCUCAGACAUCCAUGGUGGGGCCCAGACAGGAGGAGUGUGAGCGUAGGCAGUUUCCAUCAGGCCUGCAGUGGCCUUGUGUUCUCAGAGCGUCAGACAUCCAUGGUGGGGCCCAGACAGGAGGAGUGUGAGCGUAGGCGGUUUCCAUCAGGCCUGCAGUGGCCUUGUGUUCUCAGAAAACCAGUCGUCUUCUCAGAACCUCAGACAGCCAUGGUGGGGCCCAGACAGGAGGAGUAUGAGCGUAGGUGGUUUCCGCCUUCUGAUAUUGUCUGAAGGGCACAACACUCAAAACAGGUGUUAACACACACACAGAGGUCUCCUAAGAGAAGACCCUACAGUUUGUCAUCACACAAUUUAUUAACCCUUUAAAAGGUAUGAGGCCUUUGUUUAUCCCAGUCAUUCCCUCCUUUGAGGCCACCAGGCCUCAACAAAUGCAAAGUAACUCAAGCAUAGUGAUUAUAAGAAUCAUCCAUAAAAUGUGCUUUAGACUGUAAGCAAUCCUCAGGAGAUUGAGGAUAGAAAUAACGGUCUUGGUGUGCACUCUUAUCUGUUAUGGUGGUUGUGACGUCUUCUGGUAGUGCAAUAGGUGGUGCCACCCCUGAUGCUCCUAGACCUUCACCGCUCUAGGUGUUUCUGCGAUGGCCUGGUAGGAACCUAUCCAUCUGGGGUGCUUCCACUUCCUUUUGUGGACCUUCUGCUUGAUCCAUUCUUCACCGUCAACAGGUAGGCUGUAUUGGUCACCCUGAUCUGGAACUUCCUGGGCUUUCCUGUAUUGGGAACACAAAUACAUAACAGCAUGAGUUAGUUCCUUCAUAUAUUUGCUCAAAUCAUCAUCCAGUGCAGUCAGGUCAGUGGUCUGUGUAAAGGAACGCUCAUUGGAUUGCCAGUUAAGAGCUCAUGUGGGCUAAGCCCUGUUACGCGGUUUACACUAUUGUGCAUUUUCAUCAAGACUAAGGGGGACACUCUACCCAUGACUUCCCUGUGGAGUGACAUGCUUUGGCAAGCCCCCUUUUAUGGUUUGGUUAGCUCUUUCAGUAAUCCCAUUACUUUGUGGGUGUUAGAUACAAACAAACUUCUGAUCUAUCCCCAAUUGGGCAGCCAC